rnacentral:rRNA from 2 species
UUCUGUAGCAAGGUUAACCGAAUAGGGGAGCCGGAGGGAAACCGAGUCUUAAUUGGGCGUUAAGUUGCAGGGUAUAGACCCGAAACCCGGUGAUCUAGCCAUGGGCAGGUUGAAGGUUGGGUAACACUAACUGGAGGACCGAACCGACUAAUGUUGAAAAAUUAGCGGAUGACCUGUGGCUGGGGGUGAAAGGCCAAUCAAACCGGGAGAUAGCUGGUUCUCCCCGAAAGCUAUUUAGGUAGCGCCUCGUGAAUUCAUCUCCGGGGGUAGAGCACUGUUUCGGCUAGGGGGCCAUCCCGGCUUACCAACCCGAUGCAAACUGCGAAUACCGGAGAAUGUUAUCACGGGAGACACACGGCGGGUGCUAACGUCCGUCGUGAAGAGGGAAACAACCCAGACCGCCAGCUAAGGUCCCAAAGUCAUGGUUAAGUGGGAAACGAUGUGGGAAGGCCCAGACAGCCAGGAUGUUGGCUUAGAAGCAGCCAUCAUUUAAAGAAAGCGUAAUAGCUCACUGGUCGAGUCGGCCUGCGCGGAAGAUGUAACGGGGCUAAACCAUG